UACGGAGGGUGCGAGCGUUAAUCGGAAUUACUGGGCGUAAAGCGUGCGUAGGCGGAUGAUUAAGCGAGAUGUGAAAUCCCGGGGCUCAACCUCGGAACUGCAUUUCGAACUGGUCGUCUAGAGUAUUGUAGAGGGUGGUGGAAUUUCCAGUGUAGCGGUGAAAUGCGUAGAGAUUGGAAGGAACAUCAGUGGCGAAGGCGGCCACCUGGACAAAUACUGACGCUGAGGCACGAAAGCUAGGGGAGCAAAUGGG
rnacentral:rRNA from 1 species